CCGCCGCCGCCUGCGGCCGCCCGCGCUGUUGACUCAACGUCCGCCUCCGCGGGAAGGGGAGGAGGAGCCGCGGCGGCCGGGCCGCAGCCACAGUCUGGCCGCCCCCCGCCCUCCCCGCGCCGCCCGGGCCCCCGCCCCCCGGACCGCCACGCACCCAGCCCCGACCCCCGAUCCCCCCCGCGCAGUGCCCCGGAGCCCGGGCCCCACGUUUACACCCCCCCCAACACACACACCACGAUUCUCGCAGGGAGGGGGCCGAAGGGGUCCCAGCAUGCUGGUCACUACUAGCUCCGGGAUUCCUGCUCUCCCCUGGCGGGAGGCGCGCUUCACAGGCACCUGCGUGACCCCCCAAAUCCAGCCAGCCCCUGACCCACUUCCCAGCGGGGGAGGGCGGUGGCUUUGUUCCCCAGUGAACCUUAGGUACGGGGCCUGGCACAUAGUAGGUGCUGUACAAAUAAAUGUUUGUUGGUCACGGGAACGAAGGGACCACGCGUUAUUAUAUAUUUAACAUUGUUUUUGAAGCUACUAAUGUUUACUUACAUUUAUUUCGCAAAUUAUCAGCUGUCAUAAAUAGAAAGCAAAUGAUAAAAUAGAAAACAAAACAAUAUUGAAUUCUAAAUAGGACCAAAAGCUCUGAGUGGGAUGCCGUGCUCUGUCAGGGCAGGUGUUAAAGACCUGCUGGCUUCGAUCUGAGGCUGUCUCCUGAGAGGAAAGACUGAAGAGAAUUACAGAGGGCAGGGAAUCUUCACAAAUAAGUCAUUAAUAUUCAAGGUGGUUUUCCCAGGUCUCCUAAAAUCCUCUCAUGGACCACCACCAAGGUGAGCUUUCCAGUCUUGCAGAAGCCCAACCUGUGAAGACAAGCAGCCCAUUGUGGAUCCCGGAUCAACCCUGUGAGAUGAGUGUUCUCGUCAUUUAUCAGAUGUGGAAACAGAUCUGAAAAAUGGAGAAACAGAGACUUGGUGAGGACAUCUGGCUCCCAGAGGGUCUCUUCAGCAUCUUGGAAACCUGAACACGAGGUACCACACCUGGAAGAAGGCCAUAUUGCAUUUUAUCGUUGGCCUCAUUUUGUCGGCAUGUAGACUGUAAAAUCGUGUUAAUAAUUCCCUGCCAUUGUCUGUAGCUUUGACUCUAGGCUCAGCCACGUAACUAGCUUUAGCUAGUGCAAGGUUGCAAAUGUGCAGGGGCACUAAUCCUUGCUUAUGCUCUUGGGAACCUGUGAACCCUACCAAACAAACAAGCCCAGGAUAGCUUGCUGGAUGACGGACUCACGACCAACAACCAGCCAACUGCCACAUAUGUGAGUGAUGCCAGUGACCCCCACAGAUGAGAUGUUCAUGCAUGAGCCCAGCUGAAACCGGCAGAAGAACCACCCAGCUGAGCACUGCCCAAUUUGCUGACCCACAGAUCACAUGGCUAAAUACAUGGCUGUUAUGUCUGAAGCCACUAAGGUUUGGGGUGGUUUGCUAUAUAUCAGCAGAUAACCAACACAGAUGGUGAUACACUGAUCAAGAGCCUGGCUGGUCGGAACUGUCCCUGGCAGCCCUUAACAAGCAACAACCCCUGGCAUCAUGACCUUCUGGGCCCUCAUCUAAAGAAGAUUCUACAGCUCGGGCUAUGAGAAAGAGCCAGUCUACCAGGGUCAUGACGUUUCUCUGAUGAUGUGCCUCUCCCAGUUGGGAGCAGCCUCUCCAGCCUGGCCAUGACCAUGACUGCAAAGAGAACCCUUCAUGGAUUUUUGAGAAUAGCUUCUCUGAGCCAGGCCUUCCUCUGCAACUUGCAACCACGGUGAGACCGGAGAUUCAAGACCCCAUAACGCAAGGUCCACCAAAGUGUUUUACUGCCCCUUCAUUCCCGUCAGAGGCGAAUGGGACCAGCACUGGUGUCUGCUUUCCACCAAAACUGUGAUUCCUUUCAGUGUCCAAACGGUUGAGCUGCUGUGGCUCCCUGAGCUGGGGGCAGACAAAGAGGUGUUGCCUGCAGUCCGCAGCCGGGGCUUGUGGGUGUACUUGAGCAAAUGUUUCAAAGGAUGGCAGUGAUUUGCUUGCUUUUACUACAUCCACGGGGCAGAAAUUGUCAGGGCUUGGUGACACCGAUUAUAAUGCUUUGACCUCAUUCAGUCACCAAAGGGCAAAUUUCUCUUUGUUCUCUAGCAGAAACACAACUUGGCAAAUAAACAUGAUUUCUAAA